rnacentral:rRNA from 1 species
UACGAAGGGGGCUAGCGUUGUUCGGAAUCACUGGGCGUAAAGCGUAUGUAGGCGGAUUGUUAAGUCAGGGGUGAAAUCCCGAGGCUCAACCUCGGAACUGCCUUUGAUACUGGCAAUCUCGAGUCCGGAAGAGGUUGGUGGAACAGCUAGUGUAGAGGUGAAAUUCGUAGAUAUUAGCUAGAACACCAGUGGCGAAGGCGGCCAACUGGUCCGGUACUGACGCUGAGGUGCGAAGGCGUGGGGAGCAAACAGG